GCAUUUCUCUAAUCGAGCUGUAACACUUGCUGCUGCGGUCCAUGGCUCCAUUCCUUGAAGCCCACGAGACCAGGAACCCUUGGAUUGAGAAAAAACCUUCAAUUGGGAGGAUACUUCUUAUCUCAUUUCUAGGGGCCCAUCCGGGAUUUCUCCACAGCAGAAUGCACUUAAAUAAUUACACCAGCCUUGUCAUGGAUGCUGCUUUGAAGAACAAAGAUGGUAGAAAUAUCUUACAUUCUGGAAUAUUUACAUACUCUCAUUUGUCCUACUUAUUUAUGAGCCUGAAUACAUAAAGGAUGAUUAUACUAAGACACUGAAGGGUAUUUCAAAUUACAACCACUAUAUAUCUUUUCUUCCCAUGAGGAUGUUUUUAUUAUCUUCACUAUGUCCUUGUUAUCUGAACUGAAACUGACUUUUAAGUUUGGUUCUAAAUUAGUUGCCACAAGCCGAGAUAUUUUAUUUCAAAUAAAUAUUGUUACAUAGCUUUGAGAUCUUUGGAAAUGAAAGAUUUAUUUUCAGGCUUAGGACUAUUCCAAAGAUUGCUGAAUGUAAAUUAGUGUUAUAACCCAACUUACUGGCUAAAAUUGUUCAGUAAAAGUCCUGGUCUUACUAGUAAAUUCCAGUUAACUCUAAAUGUAACUGAAGACAAUUCAUUUAAUAACUUUCUUCUCUAGCUGUUAUACUCAAUUUUACUUUGUUCAAGGUGGGUCUUUAUGCAUGGUCUGCUUUGGAGAAAAAGCGAUGUUUAUAUCUCCCAUCUUUGUGACUAGUUAACUUCUUGUUCAGUUUGUUUUUAAUACUAGUGAGAGACAGGACGAGCUGGAUUUCCUAGGCCGACUAAGAAUCCCUAAGCCUAGCUGGGAAGGUGACCGCUUCUACCUUUAAACACAGGGCUUGCAACUUAGCUCACACCCGAUGAAUCGGAUAGUAAAGAGACCUCACUAAAAUGCUAAUUUGGCAAAAACAGGAGGUAAAGAAAUAGCCAAUCAUCUAUUGCCUGAGAGCACAGCGGGAGGGACAAUGAUUAGGAUAUAAACCCAGGCAUUCGAGCCAGCAACAGCUACCCGCUUUGGGUCCCUUCCCUUUGUAUGGGAGCUCUGUUUUCACUCUAUUUUACUCUAUUAAAUCUUACAACUGCACUCUCUUCUGGUCUGUGUUUGUUACAGCUCAAGCUGAGCUUUCACUCUCUGUCCACCACUGCUGUUUGCCACUGCCGCAGACACGCGCUGACUUCCAUCCCUUCGGAUCCGGCAGGGUGUCCUCUGUGCUCCUGAUCCAGUGAGGUGCCCAUUGCUGCUCCCGAUCCGACUAAAGGCUUGCCAUUGUUCCUGCAUGGCUAAGUGCCCAGGUUCGUUCUAAUCGAGCUGAACACUAGUCACUGGGUUCCACGGUUCUCUUCCAUGACCCACGGCUUCUAAUAGAGCUAACAGAGCUGUAACACUCACCGCAUGGCCCAAGAUUCCAUUCCUUUGAAUCCGUGAGGCCAGGAACCCCAGGUCAGCUACCACCAGGCUAGCCACCAUCUUGGAAACAGCUUGCGGCCAUUUUGGAAGCGUCCCAUUACCGUCUUGGUAGCUCUGGGAGCAAGGACCCCCAGUAACAUGAGGACUCACACAGACUAGUAAGGCAACUUUCCAUAAGGAAUGACAUUGCAUUUUUCUGAAUAAUGUGGACUGGCAGAUGUUGUGUGUAAGUGUUUGCUGAAUCAUCUGAUUGAGGCAUUUCUUCUUAAUCAUAGGUGAGGGGAGCCAGUGGCAAACUGUAAGAUGUGCCACUGAGAUCCCCCUUCAAGUUCAGUUCUUCAGAGUCUGCUUCAGCUGCGUGAAGUGCUUUUACCCUAAGUCUCCCCAUCUUCUUCAGACCAGCCGGCAUACAGCAACUGAGCAGGGUAGGAGUAUAAGGGGUAGUUCAUUUGAGCCUGACAUGGGGCACUGAGAUAGGCAAUAGCAGCUUCAGAGCCAUUCUGAGUAGCGUGAUGAAACCUCAAACCAUCCCAUUCUGUCCUCCCUGAGACAUGAAUCAUCCCUUUGUCCAGCACAUAUAACCAUGUUGUCCACAUUACUGGCCUAUAAUUAGUUACUUAGUAGCCAGCUCGGUUAUCAGAAUGACUAUGGUGAUAUCGAUGUGCUUGUGCUUAAGUAAACCUUAUUUUACUUAACAAUAAUCCCAAAGCUCAAGACUAAUAAUACUGGCAUACUGUCAUAAUUUUUUAUUGUAUUAUUAGUUAUUGUUGUUAUCUCUACUGUUCCUAAUUUAUAAAUUAAGCUUUAUGAUAGAUAUGUAUAUACAGGAAGAAACAUAGUAUAUAUAGGAUAUGGUACGACCUGCAAUUCCAUGCACCCAUGGGGGGUCUUGGAAUAGAUCCACCGAGGAUAAGAGGGAACUACUGUAUUAAGUAAUGGGGCCACUCCUCUUUGCAUACGUUACAUUCCAAAUGCAUAUAUUCUUUCCACUAGAGCCACAGAGCCAUCAAAGAUCUUCUAUUAUCUAUAUGCUGCGUCCUAGAUGAUGAAACACAAUUCUCAGGAAGUAUUGGCUCCAAACUGGCAUUUUAGCUGUGCAGGCCUUUUCAGCACUCUCUCACACUGACAGCUUCUGGGUGGGUCAGUACGUCAUCUCAUGGUCAUAGGCCCACUUACUCUUCUCCUUUACCAUAAACUAAGUCUUGGUCUAAUGGAAUAAUAAUGUGUUUUGAUGCCAGUGGAACCAAAACUCUGCAAGUCCACAGAUAGUAAUGUUUACUGUUGCUUUACAGGUAAGAAUGGUACCCCCCUACUAAGAAAGUGUGUAUGGCAGGUAAACACUGAGCACACAUGGAUAUAAACACAGGGAUAAUAGACACUGCAGACUACUAGGGAAAGGAUGGAAGGAGAGAGACAUGGGAGAAAAACUACCUAUUGGGUGCUAUGCUCACUACGUGGGUCUAAUACACUAUGUAACAAUUCUACACAUGUACCCCCGUAUCUAAAAUAAAAGCUGUUUUUUUAAAAGAAAAAUUGCUGUAAAUAAUGGAAAGAAAAUGACAGGGCUAAUAUUUUGGGAAUCUUAGAAAAGAAUUAUAUUCAAAUUACAUAAGAAGAAAGACAGAGUCGGGUGCGGUGGCUCACGCCUGUAAUCCUAGCACUUUAGGAGGCCGAGGCAGACGGAUCACGAGGUCAGGAGCUCGAGACCAUCCUGGCUAACAAGGUGAAACCCCGUCUCUACUAAAAAUACAAAAAAAAAAUUAUCCGGGUAUGGUGGCGGGCGCCUGUAGUUCCAGCUACUCGAAAGGCUGAGGCUGGAGAAUGGCAUGAACCUGGGAGGCGGAGCUUGCAGUGAGCCGGGACCGUGCCACUGCACUCCAGCCUUGGCGACAGAGUGAGACUCCGUCUCAAAAAAAAGAAAAAAAAAAAGAAGAAAGACAGGAGUUAUUAUCUUAGUCUGUUUUGUACUUCUACAAAAAAAAUACCUGAAAUUGGGUAAUUGAUAAAGAAUAGAUUUUUUUUUUUUCUCACAGUUCUGGGGGCUGAGAAGUUUAAGUUCAAGGCACCAGCCAGUUUGAUGUCUAGUAAGGACCCCAUCUCUGCUUCUAAGAUGUAACCUCCAGAGGAAAGAAACACUGUUCUCCACAUGGCAGAACAGUGGAGCUAAAACUCAUUUCUUAAUGUCCUUUUCAAAAGUAUUUGAUCUACCCAUGUGGGCAGAUCCCUCCUGGCCUAAUCGCCUCAUAAAGGCCCACUUCUCAAUAUCAUUACACUGAUGAUUAAAUUUCAGCGUUAAGUUUUGAGAUAAAUAUUCAAACCAUGGCAGUUGUCUAUUUGAAUUUUACCUUCAAAAACUCCGUUCACUUAUAUUAUCAUGUGGAACACCAUACUUCUUUGAGUUUGCUUCUUCCUUUCUCUCUCUCUCCCUCUCUGGAUAUGCCUUCUCAGUGUCUCUUCAUUCAAUUUAUUCUGUCUGUUCUUUACAUGUGUCUAUUAUUGAGAGAUCAAUGACAGUUCAAGUUGCUUCUUAUUUUUAAUGCUUUUGUAUCUCAUUUUCAUGCCUUUAAUUAUUAUUGAUGGACUGAUAAUUUCCAGGUCUCUUCUGCCAGCUCAGAUAUCACUAAUCACAGCUGGAUUUAUAUAUACACUGCUUAUGAGACAUCAUUCAAAUCAUGCUGCUCAAAAGAUGACCCAAGAUCUUUUUAUUCUUAACUGGGGUGUGUGUGUGUGUGUGUGUGUGUGUGUGUGUACAUCUUUCUAUACACGACACUACUAUAGUUCACCCACACCCUAAGUCAGAGACAAGUUCAUUGACAUUGUCACAGGCCACAGCCAAUCAUGUCACAGCAACUCUUAGUGAAAUUGUACACUUUUGAGGCUGCUAGCCCAGAAUGUGAAGCCAGAAUCAUGCUGUUUUUAAGUAACUACGUGAUCUUGGGCAAUUUGUGCAAUUAUUCUAUCCCUUAAUUCCCACAUCUGCCAAAUUGAAAUUAAAGUAGAACUCAACACAAAGGUUUUUGUGUGGGUAAAAUACAUUGAGAUAUACACAGCGCCUUACUAUAUAAACACUGUAUGUGUCAGCUACUGUUGUGUUAAGAGUAUUAUGAUUGAUAACAUCUACUAAAUCUCUCUCUCGCCUUACUGCUAUUUCUCUAAUUCAGAAUUCUAUUAUUUUGCAAGUAUCACUGAAAAAGCUAACUUCUCUCUUCAGUGUUGCUGUUUCAUAAUCCUUUCUAUAUAUUACAGUGAUUUUACUAAAAUGGGAAUAGAAUUAAGUUGCUUCUUUAAAUAAAAUUCUUUAAUAAGAUUAUAUAAUAUAUUUUAUUAUAUGAUCAUUCUUGUUCCUCCUGACUAACCACCUUAUUAGGGAUUUUCUGGUUAUUUUAUCUUUCUACAUAAAAUUUGGAUUUGACUUGACAGUGAUUGCGGAAAACAUAUUUCUAUUUUGCCAUUAUUUUAUUACAUUUAUAGAUUAAUAUGGACUGAAUUGUCAUCAUUAUGAUGUUGUGUUUUUAUUCCAAGACAUUACAUGCUUAUAUAUUUGAUAACAACUUACUUUAAGUUCUCCAAUAGUAUACAAUUUUUCCCCUUAAAAAUCAUGCACAUUGAUUAUGAGGUCUGUUUCAAGUUUUUUGCUUUGCAAAAUAGGGUGUUUUCUAAUUAUAUAAUGUAUAUGUUAUGAACUAUUUAUUUUUAUUUUGUAUUCACCUACCUUAAUCAUUUGCCAUCAUGUUUAGAGUCAUUUUUUUCAGUCUUGGCUCCUGUAUACUGAAAGUGUUGAAUCGUAUCAUCUGUAAAUGAUGACAGUUUUGCCUCUUUAUUUCUUAUGCCUUGUCAAAUCUUAAUAGCUAGAUACAAGAAUAUUUGCUUCUAGCUAUAGCAGAUGAACUUGAAUAUAGCCAUCCGUCUUGCUAGACUAAUUAGUAAGGCUGGAUAAAAUAUGAAAGAUAAAGUGUUAGAGGGCACCUGAGAUCUCUACCAAGCAGCAGAGACUUGAGGAGGCAAGACUCCAGAAAGAAGGGAAGCACAUAAACAUAAAUUAGAUGUUCUGUUCAGAUUUUUGCUAUGACACAUUUGCCAGUUGAAAGAGGCAGAAGGAGGCAUCUAAAAAUCUUGAAAGUCAAACUGUCUAUGCAACAACAUUUUGGACCUGGUGUGCUAAAAAAUGAAUUCACAUCAGAUUGAAGAAAAGCACAGGGAGAUGUGAAUGAUAUGGGCUGCUGAAUAAGAUGUGUCUUCAACACAAUCUCCUAUUAGGGCAAAAUUCAAAUAAAAGAAAUAUAUUGAGAUUAUAUAGAAUUUUGAUGCUGACUGGCCAUGAAUUCCAGAGGACACAAUAAAAAAAUUUUCUGAGUGAGAGGAAUUGGAAGAUAAGGCUAUCUGGAUAGCUGUAUCAGGACAGACAUGGCUGAGAACAAAUAAUUGUCUGUAAUAGAACAUGCAAAUUCUUCCUUAGAAUGUAGUAAAGGGACUCCUUUAUUCAUAUGUGCUCCUGCCACAACUCUGAAUGCAUAGAUUCUUUUGACUUGACAUAAAUGCCACAGAUUUGUUUUUAUUUUAAUGAAGUCCAAUAACAGGAGAUCCACCAAUAACCUGGAGGUAGCAGGUAGCUAUUGAAAGGAAGUUUAUGAAAUUAUUAGAAAAUGAUUUAUUGAAACUUUCUAUUACCCAUCUCCUAGCAUUCAAUAUCUGCCCUCAUUAAACUCUACUAGUAAAUUUAAUAAUCACCUUUUGCACAAUCAAAUUUUUAUUAUUUUGGUUGUUAAGUGGGACAUAACACCAUGGUCCCAAAUUUUCUAUAUUUUAAAAUGCAUUUUCUUCAUUUAUACUUCAUACCAUUCUACCAAUUUUCCUAACUGGUUGAAUUCAUUGCUUUGAUUUCUGAUUAAUUUCUCAUAUUGUAUAAUCCUUGAGAGAAAAUACGUCCUUCACACUCAAAUUGUUUGUUUCCAGUGCCAUAUAGUUAAACCUUUCUUUUAUUCGGCAUGUAUUUCAACCUUCCUUGUCUCUCCAUUAACCACUGUCCUUUCUUCCCUUCACAAUUGGUAAAUGUUUUAUUUUGCAAAGAGGAUAGGCUAAUUAAUUUACUAAAUAUAAUAGUUUUAUGUAGGAAAAUACACUGAAAUUAGGAAUAUGUAUUCAAAAUGACAUAUAACAAACCCAUUUUUUUCCUUAUCAAUGUUAUCACCCAACAAUGUGGAACAAAAUGAUGUUACUCAAAGACUUCCCAUUUGUCAUGUUGCUUAAAGUCAUAGAUUCCAAGAACUUAACAACAUCGUCAAGCAAGGACUUACUGUACUUAAUAUACAAAUAGUUUUUUUAAUACCAAAAUGUCUCCUUCCUUUGCUGAAUGCUGAUUGCAUACAUUAAAUCUCCAGUUCCUCGAUGAAUGCAUAUUCUUUUAAAAAACAAGCUGUCAUAACCUAUUAUAAGAGCAUAGCAAAUUAGCAAUAUACGUUUACCUCCUUUGUGAUAGAUAAGUGAAGCAAGUUUUGAAACCAAGUUAAUAAUUCUGAAUAAAUCCACAAUUUUUUUUAAAAUGCUGAAAUUUUGUGUAAUAUUUUUCAAAGGUCUUUAGUGUAACAAAUUAGUGAGAUGAAAUGGUAAAAUGUGCCAAUUCGCUUCCUACCAUAGUUCACUUAUAUAUCACUUGCAUUUUAAUCCUUAUAGAUUUUAAUCCUUAUAGAUUUCUGAGAAGACCAUUAUCCUUAACAAACUAACACAAGAACAGAAAAUCAAAUACCACAUGUUCUCAUUUAUAAGUGGGUGCUAAAUGAUGAGAACAUAUAGACACAUAGAGGGGAACAACACACACAGAGGCCUUUCAGAGGAUGGAGGGUGGAAGGAGGGAGAGGAUCAGGAAAAAAUAACUAAUGGAUACUAGGCUUAAUACCUGGGUGAUAAAAUAAUCUGUACAACAAACCUCCAUGACACAAGUUUACCUGUGUAACAAACCUACACUUGUACCCCUGAACUUAAAAUAAAAGUUAAAAAAAGGAAAAUAAAUUUAAAAAGAAUAUUAUGUGGUCUGAACACUUAUUUCUGUUAAUCAAAUUUCUUUGUAAUCAUAUAAUUAUUUAGUACCACCCACUUGUACAACAUUUAUUGCAUACAUCAGUGUUUAUAAUCAUUUCUAACAAAUAAACUUUUUUAUUAAACAUUGGGUAGAAUUUUAUAUGUAUGAUUAUAAUUUAAUAUACUGCAUCAUAUAUACAUACGUAAGAUGCAAUAUAUCAAGUUGAUAUAAGCAGAGCUUAUCUGCCUGAAUUCAUUGUGGAGAUCAUGGUAUCCUAGAUCCUCAACUUCCAAUGAUAUCUGUUUACUCUUCAUUAGCCACCACUGUAAAAGAAACAAGAUUUAUUAACCACUUGAUGGCUUUCUAUUCUAGAAUAUAGUGACUGCAUUAUCGAAAUGCAUAUGGCAUGUCAUUUGGGAGAAUAACCUGGUAUAGAAGACAGUGUCCAAUACUCAGAUCAAAAGAAAUGAAUUUGCUUCCUGAUUGUGUCAAAAAUCAGUGGUAAUCUGUUAGCAAUUCACUUAAACUCUUUUAAGGCUUAAUGUAGUCAUACAACUAUGAAUGCAUUAUCAAGCGGAGUUCACAUCAUUUUCAGAAUUGUUGUUAUAUUAUUUUAUGAACCUCUGUGUUUUGAUUAUAUAGUUGGUAGCUAGCUGCUGCACUAAACUGUGAGAAAGAAAAUGACACCUAACAUCCUGAACUAGGUAAGGUUAUGUGUUACUACAAGCUGACUUGAUGCUCCCAGCUAGAGAACACUGUUCUCCUGGUGAACAUAAACAAUCUCACAGAGCAUAACAACAUCAGGUCACGUUGAAGGGAUGAUAAAGUGAGAUAAAACAAGGUCACCAUGUACCCCAUGAAGUACUCGAACAUCCUCCUCUCUCUGCUAAAAUGAAUUAUGGCUGCUUCUUUACCUAGUCUAUCCUUCCUGUAGAUAAGAUUUGUUGAGGUUCUCAAUUAUGAACUUGUCUGUCUUCCUGACAGCAUCCAAUCAUGAUCAAAGCCUGAAUCCUUGGACCCUCCCCUGAAUUACCGGACCAAAGCUCAAAUCCUGUAAUAGGUCUUUCUCUUACUGAGAGAGGCACUAUGGCUUUCUUUGCUGUGUGUUUUCCUUUCAUGCAAAGAGUCAUAAAUUCAACUUGUUCAACUAUCACUGUGUUCUUGGUGGCCUUUGUCUGGAGAUAUUUGACAACUGAAAUUUGUUCAAUUUAAGUAAUGCUGAUGCUUUGCAAUGAAUGCUAUUUGAAAUCUGUAUUAGCAGUUAUAUAACUUCUGCUCUAGCACUCUAUGUAUUUACUUCUAAAAUUAAUAAAAUUCUGACAUGUUUAUAAUA